rnacentral:rRNA from 1 species
UGGCGGACGGGUGAGUAAUGUCUGGGAAACUGCCUGAUGGAGGGGGAUAACUACUGGAAACGGUAGCUAAUACCGCAUAACGUCGCAAGACCAAAGAGGGGGACCUUCGGGCCUCUUGCCAUCGGAUGUGCCCAGAUGGGAUUAGCUAGUAGGUGGGGUAACGGCUCACCUAGGCGACGAUCCCUAGCUGGUCUGAGAGGAUGACCAGCCACACCGGAACUGAGACACGGUCCAG